UAAUUUAUUUAUAUAUCUUAUUUAAUUUUUUUAGUAUCUUGGAAAAAAAGCAUUCUUCCUUCCAGGUAUCAGUUCUACCCAGGAGGCAAAGCCUAGGAUGGCCUCCAUGUUGAUGAAUAGCACGCCCACACAGACACUUGGGUAUCUAGUUGUGUCUUUCUUCUACCUUUGGCCAUUCUAGAAUAAUACACCAAACUUUGAUAUGAUGAUGACCUUUUGGUUCCCAUUAUUUUUGUGUUCUUUUUUUUUAAGUAAUUAGAACUAAAAAUGAGAGAUUAAUUGCUAUACUUGUUGGAAUAUUUAUUUUUACUCAGUCAAUAUAUAUAAUAAUUUCCUCUAAAUAAACCAUAAUGAAUCUGAAAGAUUUUUAAAUUGCCUAUUAAUUAGUUGAGUUGAGUUCCUGGCCCUGCAGGGAGCCCUCCCAUAUGUGAUCUUCGUUUCUUUAACACUAUUUACUUACUGUCAUCACUCCCAGUUACGCUCUUCCUUUCCUGCUGCAUAGUGUGUGCAAUAGAAUUCACCGUGGUGUUGAAUCCUACUUUCUUAAGCCUCCCCUACCUCCCACACCAGUGCUCUUCUCUGGGCAGCCCAUCAACACUGUUCUAGUCAAGACAGAGUAUCUCCCUUCAAAUCAUUUAUUUUUCAGCUUAGGGCUUGGUAUGCUUUUUCUAUAAGGGACACCAGUUAGUAAAUAUUUUAAGCUUUGUGGGCCACAUAUGUUCUCUAUCAUAUACUCCUUUUUGUUUUUUAAAAUAAUUCUUUAAAAAUAUAUAAUCACUCUUAGCUUGCACAAAAACAGGCUUGACUUAGUGUGUGGGCUGGUAGCCUAGCUGAUUGUCCACUUGGCAGGCACUUCCUUCAAGCCUUACAGAAAAGCAGAUCUCAUUAAGAUAAUCUAAUUCCUCUGUUCUUAUUCUAGUUCUUUUUUUUUUUUCCAGCAACCUCUAGAAAUAAUCUACUGUAGACUAUCUAAGAAAGAAUGUGCUGACCAGAAAACAUAGGUAUUCUGGAUUACUCAGUAGUAGUUUCUAAUUUCAAACUUAAUAAACCAGCAAAUUAUCACAACGUGUGUGUGUAUGUGUGUGUGUGUGUGUGUGUGUGUGUUGUUGUUGUUGUUGUUUCUAAAUGAAUCAGAUUAGCUUGGCUUGUACUGAAAAAUUUCUUUUGGAGGCCUGUACCAUUGAAGGCUAGACUGUAGAACCUGGCUAUCCCAGUUUAUUCCCCCUGGGUGGCCCAGUCUAGGCCUCCCUUUGAAGCCAGCCUUUUCAGUUUUCUACAGGGGCAAGGAACUGAAUAGAGAGGGGGAGGGGCUGGAGUCUGCCAGGUGGAGACAGUGAGGUUUUGGUGCCAAAAGAGUGAAAACCUGAGUCCACUCCACCACUACCUUUUUGUCUUUUCAGGAGUCCUUUAACUUCUCUGUCCAUUGCUUUACAUGUAGACUGUCUGAAGAUGAUUGCCUACGCACUUUCCCAUCCCUGAACCCACAGACCACAUCACCCUCAAGUGUCCAUCUCCCAUUCUUGUGAAUCUAGUCUGGCCUCCUGUCUUACCUUGGCCAGUAGAAUGUGGUAAAAGUGACUUCUGCUUUGUGAGCUUUUGCUUUCACUCUCUUGAGCUCUUGCUACCACAUAAAGAAGCUUGCACUCAACUACCCAAUAAUGACAAGCCAUGUGGUCAGAGGAUCAGCCCCAUGCUGAGCCAGACUGAACACAGCCACACGUGAAUUCUCAAAUGGCAUCAUGUGGAGUAGAACUGCCCAGCCCUAAGAAAUAAUGAGUUUUAGGGUCAUUUGUUUAAAUGCAAGAAAUAACUGAACACCACAUCACCCAGGUGUUCUCCUCCUCCUAGCAGUAGCACAGAGCUGUGGGCCUCCGUGCAUUGGAGUACAGCAGGAUGGAGGAAGAAAUAACUCAGCAAAGCUCCCCACGGAAUCCUGAUACCACCCUCUCUGUUAAUGUCAGUGAGUUUCAAUGAAUAGUCGAAGCCCAGUUACAAUGGAUUAAACACCGUGGAAGUUUACUUGUCUGUCAAAUAAAAAACUAAACGUAUGGUGAGAAGUAACUGAUCAGAAACAGCAUAAAGUGUCAAGGCCUUUUCCACUUUAAAUAAGAAUAUGCUUUUUCCAACAUAGUAAUUAUAUAACUUUAUCUGCCUUCAACUUGGAACACUAUUUCAAAUGACUAUAAUGAUGUUUAACUGUUUCAGAGUUGCCCGCACUGAUUCUUAGUAUAAGUGAUUGAUUUCAGCUUAGAUGCCUUGGGGGAAGUGCCUCACAUUUCGUUAUAACAUCUAGUCUCAGUUCCACUACCUCAAGCUUGACAAAAUACCAAAUAAUAAGUCUCUUUCUGGAAAAAUCAAGAAGUCUAUGGUUGAAUUAAUAACUGAAAGAGGUGAAUUUAGUCAUAAUCAUUAAGCUUCAGGGCCCCUGACUUGCACUUGCCUUCCAAGACUACAGAAUGUGCUCACAUGAUCAUAUAUUUGUGCAAAAUCAUCCAUAAAACCAGGUAAGAUUGUCCCUUUGGACAUUCCCUGUCACCACUUCUCUUGAGUCAGUGUUUUGGAUUGAAUGAUUCUAAGGGGGGUUGAAUUGAGGAUACAUUAAGUUUGAGAAAUAUUGGUGUGGUCUGCAGUCACUUUUUAUAUGGGGAAUUUAUUGCCAGAUACGGCAUGAGCUCCAGGAAUCUUCCCCUUGCCCACUGUGCUGAUUCAUGGCACCAUGGCACAAUGACAAAGGGCCAAGGGUAGAAUCAUACCAUAAUCCUGUCCAGCAGCAGCUGCCAUUGAAGAAAAUAGGCAUAGAAAAAAUUAAGGUGUAUAAUGUACAGAGCCAUAAGCUAGUCUGUGGAAGAUCCUUCCACUAAUCAGGGUGUAGAGUUAUUUUUCCUGCUGCUUUUUCAAAAACAAAGUUCUCACUGGUCAGGAAUAUAGGAUAUAAGUGGCAUACAUAAUUAUAAAAGCAAUAUGCACUUCUGUUUUGUUUUAUGGAAAUUGUACAGAAUUCCAAUAAAAUUCAUUGUAAUUUCUGUUUGAAAUCACAUAUCUAUAGCAGAUCAGUGGAUGUGUGUGUGAUGUCACCUAUUUUAUGCAUCACAACACAUUGCAUUGAUCUUAGCAAUCCUGACACAGCCUGCCCUGACACAGUCUGGUGGUUCCAGACACAGUGACCCACAAAAUGGAAUUCACAGGAUACUUAAGA
rnacentral:lncRNA from 1 species